GAUGAACGCUGGCGGCGUGCCUAAUACAUGCAAGUCGAGCGAACAGACGAGGAGCUUGCUCCUCUGACGUUAGCGGCGGACGGGUGAGUAACACGUGGAUAACCUACCUAUAAGACUGGGAUAACUUCGGGAAACCGGAGCUAAUACCGGAUAAUAUAUUGAACCGCAUGGUUCAAUAGUGAAAGACGGUUUUGCUGUCACUUAUAGAUGGAUCCGCGCCGCAUUAGCUAGUUGGUAAGGUAACGGCUUACCAAGGCAACGAUGCGUAGCCGACCUGAGAGGGUGAUCGGCCACACUGGAACUGAGACACGGUCCAGACUCCUACGGGAGGCAGCAGUAGGGAAUCUACCGCAAUGGGCGAAAGCUUGACGGAGCAACGCCGCGUGAGUGAUGAAGGUCUUCGGAUCGUAAAACUCUGUUAUUAGGGAAGAACAAAUGUGUAAGUAACUAUGCACGUCUUGACGGUACCUAAUCAGAAAGCCACGGCUAACUACGUG
rnacentral:rRNA from 1 species